GACGAACGCUGGCGGCGUGCCUAACACAUGCAAGUCGAACGGAAAGGCCCUGCUUUUGUGGGGUGCUCGAGUGGCGAACGGGUGAGUAACACGUGAGUAACCUGCCCUUGACUUUGGGAUAACUUCAGGAAACUGGGGCUAAUACCGGAUAGGAGCUCCUGCAGCAUGGUGGGGGUUGGAAAGUUUCGGCGUUUGGGGAUGGACUCGCGGCGUAGCAGCUGGUUGGUGGGGUAGUGGCCUACCCAGGCUAUGACGGGUAGCCGGCCUGAGCGGCUGAUCGCCCACCUGGGAAGGUGGACACCCUCCUUAGGCCUGAGGGAGGCCCCAGUCUGCAACAUUAGGCAAUGGUGGAAAAUCUUACACAGUGAGCCGGAGCCUGUGACGGAAGCCCUGCGUGCGGAAUGACGGCCUUCGGGUUAUAAACCGCUGUCGCCUGUGACGAGGCGUGAGUGACGGUAAUGAGUCAAGAAGCACCGGCUAACUACGUG
rnacentral:rRNA from 1 species